CGCGUAGGCGGGAUGGCAAGUCGGUCGUGAAAUCCUUCGGCUCAACCGAAGAACGUCGGCCGAUACUGCCGUUCUUGAGGGAUGCAGAGGAGAUUGGAAUUCCCGGUGUAGCGGUGAAAUGUGUAGAGAUCGUGAGGAAGACCAGUGGCGAGGGCGGGUCUCUGGACAGUUCCUGACGCUGAGGCGCGAAGGCCAGGGAGCAAACG
rnacentral:rRNA from 1 species